rnacentral:lncRNA from 1 species
CUUUCAUCCUCUCCAGUCCCAUGCCGGGAGGUCUGGGUGUUGGCUGGUCCAUUCCAGGACAGCUACAUCUUUGGCAGACCUGGUGCUGACAGAACCAGCUCUGAUCAGGAGGCUUUCCCUGAUUGGAUAAGGAUGCACUGGAAGAACUGCCAGAAUGUGGCUCAUGCUCUGAGUACUGUUCCUGUACCUGACGGAUGCUCCAGACUGGCUUCCAGUUUCACUCUCAGCAUUCCAAGAUCUUAGCCCUUCCCAGAACAGAACGCUUGCAUCUACCUCCUCUUCCUCCAUCUUUGGCUCUUUUGAUGCACAAUAUCCAUCCGUUUUGAUUUCAUCUUUAUGUCCCCUUUAUCUCCAACUUCUAGAACUCCCAGUUUAUACCUGUGUCACUCUCAAUUUUUUCCAGUAAAGUACUUGAUGUAGUCCUGUGCCUUGAGGCUGAGUGAUUGACAUCUUUUUGGCACAUUACACUUUGCAGAGUAAGGGAUCAUUGAGGCUUCUGGUGACAUCAUUCAAGGGAGUGAAGACAAUCAGAACUUUGAGAGUUCAGAGUUCCAGGAAUAUUGUUAUUGUUAUCUUCCUCUGUUUCUACAAAAGAUUGUAAAACCCUUUUUAGGCAAGGGCCCAAGGACAGUGCCUUAGUUUGGAUCCUCUAGAAACUAACCCUGGGAAAAGGGCAUGGGUGCAGGUAGUUUGUUUGAGAGAUUUCCCAGGACAUACAAGAUGGGGAGUGAGAUGAGUAAUUCAGGGAAGAGAAGGGAAGAGAGAAGAGUCUAUUAUGAGCUGGUUACUACUGUGGCUCAAUCCUAUUGGGGACCUUUUAAAGAAUCAUGUAAAACAGGCUUACAAAUUUUCUUUUUAAAAAUAUUUUAUUUUAUUUUACGUUCCGGGAUACAUGUGCAGGACCUGCAGGUUUGUUACAUAGGUAAGCCUGUGCCAUGGUGGUUUGCUGCACCUAUCAACCCAUUACCUGGGUAUUAAGCCCCGCAUGCAUUAGCUAUUUAUCCUGAUGCUUUCCCUCCCCCUGCCCCCUCAACAGUCCACGUGUUCUCAUUGUUCAUCUCCCACUUGCAAGUGAGAACAUGUGGUAUUUACUUUUGUUCCUGCGUUACUUUGCUGAGGAUAACGGCUUCCAGCUUCAUCCAUGUCCCUGCAAAGGACGUGAUCUCAUUUCUUUUUAUGGCUGCAUAGUAUUCCAUGGCAUAUAUGUACCACAUUUUCUUUAUCCAGCCUAUCGUUGAUGGAUAUUUGGUUUGAUUCCAUGUUUUUGCUAUUGUAAAUAGUGCUGCAGUGAACAUACACAUGCAUGUAUCUUUAUAAAAGAAUGAUUUAUAUUCCUUUGAGUGUAUACCCAGUAAUGGGAUUGCUGGGUCAAAUGGUAUUUCUGGUUCUAGAUCUUUCAGGAAUUGGCACACUCUCUUCCACAAUGGUUGAACCAAUUUACAUUCCCAACAGUGUAAAAGCAUUCAUGUUUCUCCACAGCUUUACCAGCAUCUGUUGUUUCUGGACUUUUUAAUAAUCACCAUUCUGACUGGCAUGAGAUGGUAUCUCAUUGUGGUUUUGAUUUGCAUUUCUCUGAUGAUCACUGGUGUUGAGCUUUUUUUCAUAUGUUUGUUGGCCGCAUAAAUGUCUUCUUU